rnacentral:snRNA from 1 species
AGCGAUCAGUCGUUGGUUUCAGC